UACGUAGGGCGCAAGCGUUGUCCGGAAUUAUUGGGCGUAAAGAGCUCGUAGGCGGUUUGUCGCGUCUGUCGUGAAAGCCCACGGCUUAACCGUGGGUCUGCGGUGGAUACGGGCAGACUAGAGGCAGGUAGGGGAGAAUGGAAUUCCUGGUGUAGCGGUGAAAUGCGCAGAUAUCAGGAGGAACACCGGUGGCGAAGGCGGGUCUCUGGGCCGAUACUGACGCUGAGGCGCGAAAGCUAGGGGAGCAAACGGG
rnacentral:rRNA from 1 species